UGAGCAAUCUGCCCUUCUCAUCGGAAUAAGCGUUGGAAACGACGUCUAAUGCCGAAUACGACCUCCUUUCGCAUGAUCGGAGGUGGAAAGCUCCGGCGGAGAAGGAUGAGCUCUCGGCCUAUCAGCUAGUUGGUGGGGUAACGCUCACCAAGGCAACGACGGGUAGCUGGUCAGAGAGGAUGGCCAGCCACAGUUGGGACUGAGACACCGGCCCAGACCUCGUACGGGGAGG
rnacentral:rRNA from 1 species